rnacentral:lncRNA from 1 species
GCUUCUUCCUCCAGACUUCAGUUUCCUAAAAUUAAGGAGUUAGAAUAGAUGAACUCUAAAAUCCUUGGAGGCUCUAAUAUUCUAAGAUUUCAUGACCUGGAUAGCAAAAAGCUAAGGAGAAUAAUACAAGGUAGACCCCAAAAUAUGUAAUCUGUGUUCUUAUAUAGAAUAAUGGAUGGCCAUCUAGUCCAACCCCAUCAUCAUAAUGUUGAAGGAACUGUGGCCCAAGGAGAUGAAAUGAAUUUCCCAACAUCACACAGACGGCGAGGAUCAGAGCAGCCUACUUGUGUCCACCAUGGAUGUGUCUAUUACCACUUGGAGAACCUACAACUUCUACUCUUUGAAGAUGGCAGCCUUGCAAAAUUAACAACCACUUUGUAUAUCAACAUUUGUGUUUACAAGAUACGUUUGAGGCCAGGAUGCAGAUUGACAUGGCUAAAAAGCACUUUAGAAGACCAACAAGUCUUAUCCCAAAGAAAGAAGUAUGAGGCUGACCCACUACCAGUCACCAAGAGUUUAGGGUCAGCAUGGCAAGGAAGCUGACCCUUACCAGCAGCCUUUCCACUCCCCCAUUGCCUCAGAGAGCCCUUGCUCAUGACUAAUGUCCCUCCUGAGGAUGUGGCUACUCCCUGCAAGAGAGAGGCCAAAUCAGGUACCUCAGGGUCAACUUUUAUGAACCCACGUGCACCUCUACAUCUGUCUUCAAAUCCCUGCCCAAUUCUGAGGCCCUGCAAUAUGACAGCGGCAUAAUAUUUUAUAGGCUUGGAUGCUUUUGAUGAAGCUCUGGAAGAUUUCAAGAAAAUAUGAGCCUUGAUUACUGGAUUUUGAGCCGUUACCUUGAACUUAAAAGCAAGCCAUUUUAGACAACGCUGUUAUUGAAAAUUCUAACUUAAUUAAA